CCGGGGAGCAACUGGGCAAAGAUGGAUUGGUGCCUUCGGGAACUCGAACACAGGUGCUGCAUGGCUGUCGUCAGCUCGUGUCGGGAGAUGUUGGGUUAAGUCCCGCAACGAGCGCAACCCUUGUCCUUAGUUGCCAGCACGUAAUGGGGGGAACUCUAUGGAGACCGCCGGGGAGAAACCGGAGGAAGGGGGGGAUGACGACAAGUCUUCUUGGCCCUUACGGCCAGGUUUACACACGUACUACAAGGGUGGGGACAAAGGGUUGCAACCCGGCGACGGGAACCCAAUCCCAUAAACCCUAUCUCAGUCCGGAUUGAAGUCUGCAACUCUAUUGCGUGAAAACGAAAUCUUUAUAAAUCGCAGAUCACCAUGGCUGCGGGAAAAAAUUCCCCGGCCUUUGAAAACACCCCCCUUUUUUUUUUUUGGAAGGUUGUUUCACCAAAAGGGGAAACCCCCCCCCUUCCCGGGAGGGGUUUGCCCGGGUGGGGCCGAGGACUGGGGGAAACCCAAAAAAAGGAAACAAA
rnacentral:rRNA from 1 species